GGUCAUGCGAGUCUAAUCAGAUGUCUCAAUCAUUAAUAUCCGUUAAAUGGGUUAAAACUAGAAUAAUUUGGUCACACCAUUUCCGGUGAGUGUCAUUGGAACAAUACAUUAGCGGUCAGCCAAUCAGCAAUCAACAGGUAUUAAUUGAACUCUUUGACCAAGCCAAUCAGCAAUUAACAAGUAUUCAGGAAAACUCUUUGACCAAUCAAAUAUGUUAUAAGAAGUAUUAUUAUUUUGUGUUUAUGUCGAUAUACAAUAAGAUGUUUUGUGAAGAAAGGGCACUCUGCCCUAGAUUUGAAUGAAAUAUUGAGAUUUAUAAAUAUAUCAUUAGAAUUUGAGAUAUAAAGUAUUUGAAAAGAAAAAUAAAAGAAAUACUUAGAAAUAAUUCAGAGACUCUACAACUACAUCCGCCAUCCACUGCAACCGAUACAACCAUAUCCAUCUACCAUCCCAGAAUCUACAACCAAACACGCCCUCCACACCAGCCUCUGCAUCGUCACCAGCAUUAAUACACCAAAAGACUUUAAUUACUUUGAUUUCAAUCUUAUUAAUUACAAAAUGCACAUCAUUGACAUAGUCGUUCACCUGAGUUUUUGGCUUUACCAUUCUUCAUUCAUUCAGGCCCUCAUUCGGGAUUCCCCCAAGACUUUACAUCCAAGAUAUCAUACCCAUCACACUCCCAAUAAUGGAAUCGCAUUUAUGCAAAUCCAUUAUUUCAUCUCGAUGUUUCAGAACAUGGACACCAUAGAACAAACACAUGACAUAUCAAUUUUCACAUACAUGGCCAUCAGGCGAAAAACAACUUGACACUAUGGUCUUCCUCAUCAACUACUUAGACAAACCUGUUCUACAUCAACAAAUGCACGAUCACUUAUCAAGCGUUUACCACACAGCAGACGAGGCCGAUAAAGAAUAUUCUAUAUUUAUUUUAUUUUAUUUCUGUUACUUAAAUAACUUAAUCACUUUGUACAAUUGUAUAUUCUGAAUUUUAAAAUAUUUUUCUAUUUAAAUAUAGGUUGUACUUGUUCGAGCCAGGACACCUCUAGAAGUACCAAGAGCGGGGGCCGAGAGCUAUAGAAAAAGCCAGUUCGGGUCAACACCAGUGGUCACGCAAAAAUCGGUGGAGCUCUCCUGAGAAACGUUCACCGGAGGCACACAGCUGAGAAGGCAUUUUGUCACGCAAGCCGGAGUCAGGUUGUACUUGAGCUGGGACACCUCUAGAAAGUGGGCGGUAGACAGACAGCUAUAAGAAGAAGCCAGUUCGAGUCAGCACCAGAUUUCUACAGAUGAAUAAUCAGCUCAACAUGAUCAGAAGAGCAGUGAACAAUCAUCAUUGUCCUAGGAACUAGAGAUGCAUGGUCACUUGCGAAAUACACAGUGGACAACUGAAUGACGUACAUUCGACCAUACCUGGCGGUCAACAUAGUGUUAAUUAUACACGAACUGCUUAUAUAAACAGCUUAUAUAAACAGAUUAAAUAAGCCUAAAUAGUAAGAAAUAAUUUAACGACCAGAAAGUAAUGGACAUUGUUAUAACCCGUUUAUAGCUAUAUUUUUUAUGGUUAUGAGAUUAUGUCAAAGUGAUGGAUAAGGCUGUUUACUCCUUAAAACAAGUGGGUCGACGCCAAGGUCACCAUUUUCGUAUAAAAGGACCGUGUUAGAACCUCUAGUCGAGCCGAGCCACUGUCGAUAGAGAAUCGCACAAUAUACUUCCCAAUUUCUGGCUCCACGGUUAGGUUAGGAAAAUACUACAGCUAGACUUAGAAAAUAAUGUUUAAACUAUAAAUACAAUUCUGAUGUUAGGAAAUAGUUAGAAAAUAAAAGAAAUAAUUUUGAGAAGUCAGAGACUUGUUUUACUUUCACCAAAUACAUUGACACUCGAUUACGUGACACAUGUUUAACUGGUGCGCAGUGACAGGAUCAACCCAGGAUCAACGGAAGUGCCACUUCUUUCACGGGCCAGAAGGACGAAAUUGUGCCGAACCUCCACAACAAACGGGCAAAUUCGACACCGACAAGCACCAGAAGUACACCGCCGACCAUUACACCAGAUCAACGACGACGUCAUCCAUACCAGCGACAUCCGCACAUCAACCCCACCACCCGUUACGCCAGAUCAUCUAGACUGCCGGUAACCAAACGUCAACACAGCCAAACGUUACGCCAAACC